CUGCUCUGAAGACGAAAUGCUGCUGCUGGUCCAUUUCAACGAGAGGGAUGAGAUGAUGCUUUAUACUGUGGAGGACACCUGUCUGGCAGGAGAAGUCCAGAUGGACAAGCUCCCCUUAACCCCUACCAUUAUUGUGUGUGGUGCUUUUUCUCCAUAAAUUCUGAGAAGGGCACAAAAAUAGAGAAGAGCAGCACCUCCCAUCUACACUUGAACCCCAGAGUCCUAAUGUUGAUCCAAGACUUUUCAGAUCAUGAGUGGCGGGACAUCUGCAUAUGGACUCAAAUUCUUCUUCUCCAUCAACACAGAGGGCAUAAAAGUGGAGAAGAGCAGCAGUUCCCAUCUACACUUGAAGGCCAGAGUCCUCAACUUGACCCAAGAAGGUUUCUUAUGGUUGCUUAGUUACUUGAGCUUGCAUUAUAUACUGUAUGUUACAGAUGAAAAUAUUUG